rnacentral:tRNA from 1 species
GGAGAGAUGGCCGAGUGGUUGAUGGCUCCGGUCUUGAAAACCGGUAUAGUUCGUAAAAAAAAAAACUAUCGAGGGUUCGAAUCCCUCUCUCUCCC